GUGGGAUUAGGGAGUGGUUAAGGAGUGGCCAGUUCUUAAAGGAUCAUGCACUUCUUGUACCUACUACGCAGGCGUUUUACCCAGAGUUCAUUAGGAAAAGCCCACAAGGGGGACCACACAGAGGUGUGGUUUUAGGCCUGCUACGCCACUAAGUCAACUAGAGUUCAGGGUAACUGAAAGUUGUCCAGUCUGCCAGCAAUCAAUGUCUUGUUUGACAAGAUAGAUGUAGGGAGUAUACAUAUGUCUUAAGUCCAGAGUACAGUUAAUGAGGAGCCCAGAAUGUAGAUAAUAAGGUAGGGUGGAAGGAUAGUAUAGUAGUGGGUAAGAAUGCCUUUAUGAUCCAGUGCAAAGCCAGUUUAAACUAAUAAAUCCUUCAGGUGCUGUUUGGAACUGUACCAGGGAGAGAGAUAAGGGUCUUGCUGGGGCCCACUCAUGAGUAAUUGCUAAGCACGGAGUCCUUGGGCUGGGGAGAAACUCUUAGGGACAGUGUUCCUGAGGCUAGGGAGAAAUUGGGGUCCAAGUACAAACACCCAAACACAAGCACCCAAGCGUGUAGAGGGCCGAUCUUAAGAGUCUGAUAUGGGUUUAAGAUCCAGGACAGAGUUUGACCUUUGCCCAGGCUUUCACCCAAAGGGCUCAAUAAUUAAGAAGCAAGGCUCUCCAAUCUCCCCCUGUUAGGAGGUUCCUGAGACAUUCCUUCUCACUCUUUGAACCUUAGAUUUACAUAUUCACUCCUCCAGACAAGCCAGGAAAAAGCCUUGGAAUUUACAACUCUAUCUAGGAACUCUGAUAAGGAGGAAAUGUAUGUUAUCACAUUCUUAGCAGAUGUUUCCAGAGUGUCUUACUGGGAGGACUCUUUGAAGUUAGAAUGGAUUUUUCUCUAUAUAUCCUGUACCCUCAGAAAAAUAAACUGAGUCAGUUUUUCUUCUCCACCUGGUCCCACUUCAUGUCUUAUUUCACGCCUUUCCGUUCAAUGUACAAUCUGGUUGCCGGCAACAUUUUGACGCAUCGAACAGUGACAAAGAGUCAGAGAAAGGACAGCUCCUUGAAUGUUCCAGAGGAAAAGAAACCCUUGCUGGCUACUACACCAGGAAACAAGGUCCUUAAAUGGCUGGAGGCUGCGGUACUAAGUGUUGAUCUUCUCUGAAGUUACAGGCUGCUGUCUAUGAAUGGGUGGUUUGCUUUCCUGGGCCUGACCUAAUACCUGGCACAGAGUAAGUAAACAGCUCUCUCUCUCUCUCCUUUCUCUCUCUCUCAUAACAUUUUAUUUUUUCCCAAUUACAUGUGAAAAUAAUUUUUUAGCAUUUUUUAAAAAAAAUUUGACUUCCAAA
rnacentral:lncRNA from 1 species